rnacentral:rRNA from 1 species
AAUGAACGUUGGCGGCGUGGAUUAGGCGUGCAAGUCGUGCGGAAGUGGCCCGCAAGGGUUACUUUAGCGGCGAAAGGGAUAGUAACACGUGGGUGACCUACCUCUAGGCCCGGGAUAGCUGCGGGAAACUGCAGGUAAUACCGGAUGAUAUCUUCGGAUCAAAGGUGUGAUUCCGUCUAGAGAGGGGCCCGCGUCCUAUUAGCUAGUUGGCGAGGUAAUGGCUCACCAAGGCAAUGAUGGGUAGCGGGUGUGAGAGCAUGACCCGCAUCAUUGGGACUGAGACACUGCCCAGACACCUACGGGUGGCUGCAGUCGAGAAUCUUCGGCAAUGGGCGAAAGCCUGACCGAGCGACGCCGCGUGCGGGAUGAAGGCCUUCGGGUUGUAAACCGCUGUCAGUGGGGAGGAAAUGUCGGUGGGUUCUCCCAUCGAUUUGACCUAUCCGCAGAGGAAGUACGGGCUAAGUUCGUGCCAGCCGCCGCAGUAAUAC